GAUGAACGCUAGCGGCAGGCCUAACACAUGCAAGUCGAGGGGGAGGUUACUUUCGGGUAACUGAGACCGGCGUACGGGUGCGUAACGCGUAUACAAUCUGCCUUUCACUGGGGGAUAGCCCGAAGAAAUUUGGAUUAAUACCCCAUAGUAUAGUAAUACUGCAUCGUGAUGCUAUUAAAGCUUAGGCGGUGAAAGGUGAGUAUGCGUUCUAUUAGCUAGUUGGAGAGGUAACGGCUCCCCAAGGCGAUGAUAGAUAGGGGUUCUGAGAGGGAUGUCCCCCACACUGGUACUGAGAUACGGACCAGACUCCUACGGGAGGCAGCAGUGAGGAAUAUUGGACAAUGGUCGGAAGACUGAUCCAGCCAUGCCGCGUGCAGGAUGAAGGUCUUAUGGAUUGUAAACUGCUUUUGUAAGGGAAGAAUAAGGGCUACGCGUAGUUUGAUGACGGUACCGUACGAAUAAGCAUCGGCUAACUACGUG
rnacentral:rRNA from 1 species